rnacentral:rRNA from 1 species
CCUACGGGGGGCAGCAGUGAGGAAUAUUGGUCAAUGGGCGAGAUCCUGAACCAGCAAAGCCGCGUGAGGGAAGACGGCCCUAUGGAUUGUAAACCUCUUUUGUCGGGGAGCAAAACACGACACGUUUUGCGGACUGCGUGUCUCCGAAGAAAAAGCAUCGGCUAACUCCGUGCCAGCAGCCGCGGUAAUACGGGGGAUGCGAGCGUUAUCCGGAUUUAUUGGGUUUAAAGGGUGCGUAGGCGGUAGGUUACGUCAGCGUUAAAAUUGAGUGGCUCAAACCCGUCGAGCCGUUGAAACUGGAUGACUUGAGUUAGCGAGAAGUAUGCGGAAUGCGCGGUGUAGCGGUGAAAUGCAUAGAUAUCACGCAGAACUCCGAUUGCGAAGGCAGCGUACCGGCGCCAGACUGACGCUGAGGCACGAAAGCGUGGGGAUCGAACAGGAUUAGAUACCCUAGUAGUC